rnacentral:lncRNA from 1 species
GUAAUGUACUGAUUCUGUGUUGAUUGUAAUAAACUUCGAUACCGAAUCCAAAAGUUAAUCUCAUAUAAUUUUCAGUCAACAAUCGCCGUUUAUAACAUUAUAACCCUAGAAAACUCGUUCUUUAUAACUUUAAACUGUAAUUGUAAAAUGUAGAAAGGCCCAUCUGUUUAAAUAAAUACAUACUAGAACAAACCGCCGAAAUCGCGGG